UCUAUUGCAACGUUGGAAAGAUGUAGCAAUAGCCUAUCUACUGCAAGCUAUUGCAACGUUUUUAAACAUUGCAAUAGAU
rnacentral:miRNA from 1 species